CUACAGACAUACUGGGUGUCAUAGUAAGUCAUAGUGAAAAUGUUUACAGUGUUAGUUUUCGUCAUUCAGACAAUACAUGGUUUAGCCAGUUAUGAGAACAGUACUCACGUGGAUAGUGUUCAUACAGAGCACAACAAAUAUGACAUGCAGGUCUAUGGUGUAUCUUCAGAACCAAGUGUAGAUAUCUAUCCUGUAGAAAAGACGAGUGAGUAUAAAUCCAGCUUUUCAUAAAAUAGUUUGUACAAUUGGUUUUGUAUUAUCAAGUUGCCUAGCUAUGGCUAUAAUAUUUGUCUUUUUUGGUUUAUAGUUUUUAAUAAGUUUAACAACUCCAAUUAGUUUGGCCUCGAGCAUCAUUGCAAAGACAUGUUUUGUCUAAAUGCACAUUGUGUCAAGACAAUUGGAACAUAUGAUGUUUUUGUUCUGCAUAUUUUAAAUAUUAAAUUUUGGGUGGUUUUUUUUUUUAAUUUGGUUGUUUGACAUGUGCCUAUUUGUAUAGAAAGGUUAUAAUUAGAAAAUAAUGCUAGUCCCGAUACAUUGCGGGGUCAUGAUACUGCAUGAAUUACUGUUGAUUCAUAAUAAUAGACAACUUUCGAGUUCGAUGCAUUUCCGUCAAAAACUCUGGUUUUAGUGAACAUCAAUCGUGCGUUUAGGGGAUUCGUUACAUCCGUUCCAAUGUUGAGCAAGUGGUUGGACAAUUAUAAUACUAUUUUGCACAACUUAUUCGUCGAAUUGAAUUCUCAUAAUUGACAAUCAGUACUGCAUUGACGACCACUAAGACGCCUGCUGAACAUUAAUAGUGCACGGAUACAGGCGAUCCCUUCUUUUUGGUAAAUGACGUCAUAAAGGCGCGCAUAAUUGACGAGUUUUUUUUUCCAGUGACGGGUGAACUUGAAAGUGGCCCUUUUCGUUGGACACCAAAUUUCGUGGGGUUUCAUCGGUACAGGUGAACUGCGGAUUCCAAUGUUCAAUAGGCAUGUAUGCAGAGAUUGGCAAAACCAACCAGUUAUCCACAAAAAUUGAUACACACAAAAACAAAUGAAGUCCCAUUAUAUCAAUUUGAGCCUGUUAUGAUCUGCUUACCCUUCCGGAGCACUUGAGAGCACCCCUAGUUUUAGCGGGGCUAGUAUUGCUUAUUCCUUAGUUCUCUAUGUUUUGUCAUGUGUACUAUUGUUUGUCUGUUUGUCUUUUGCUUUUUUAGCCAUGGCGUUGUCAGUUUAUUUUAGAUUUAUGAGUUUGACUGUCCUUCUUAUAUCUUUCGUCCCUCUUUAAUGGUUUGAAAGUAUGAUGCAUAAUAACUUUACAACACCACAUUCUGGAUGUGUCUGUUAUACCUUACCACUGUUCUGGGAGAGGAUUCUGAUAACAUGUUUACAACACCACAUUCUAAAUGCGUCUGUUUUACCGUACCACUGUUCCGGGAGAGGAUUCUGAUAACAUGUUUACAACACCACAUUCUGUAUGUGUCUAUCACGUGUGAUGAGCCUGUUAUUUGGUGGUUGUCCUUUAUUGAUGUAUAUCGUACUAGAUUUUGUUUCAUUUUUUUUUACACAUCAUACCGCUAUAUAUCUUUUUUGAAUAAAUAUUAAUGAAAUGCAACAGCAUGCGUUAGUGGCGGUUAACUUUAGUAACUUAUAUAGAAUUUCGUGGCUUGUACAUGUUGUGUAGGAAGUUUUGUAAACAAUAAAGAUUGCAAUUGAAUUAUCUGAGUAUGUUUUAAAUUGUAUAACAAAAAUCUCUGAUUUCAAUCUGCCAAAAAUCAUCGCUUUAUUUCCCCCGAAUCACAACUUUCUUUAAAAUGCUAAAAACAAUAAACAUGAUUGCUUUCAACGAUUUUUAUUUAUUGGAUAUUUUCAAAUGGCAGGUCAUUUUGUUCAAGUAAAAUAAAUAAUUGCAUACAUUGCAAUUGGUACGUUUAAACAUAUUUCUCAAUUUACCUUUAUCAUGAACACGGACAAUCAAAAUUUGCCUCCCGGACAUUUUCGGUUUCAAACUUUAUUUUGGUCGCGUUACUUGCUAGUCUGAUUUCCUAGAAACACAAGGCUUAGUUAAUGUAACCUAGCAUAAUUUGACGUUUUUUUAUCAAUUUUAAAUUUACGUCUUUUACAAUACAAAUAGCACUUUGAAAUCAAUAUGCCAGUGAAAACAAAAUAACACAAAGCUAUCUGCUUUCAGCUUUCAUCUGUUAAAGAUCUACAAAAUUUGAAAGAGUAAAGAUAGGAUAUUUUCAGAUUUAUACGAUUUAUAUUAUUUAAACGAAACGAAUUGUUAAUACAUCUGUUCUAAUCUGUUAUAAUAUUGAUUGAUUGAUUGAUUGAUUGAUUGAUUGAUUGAUUGAUUGAUUGAUUGAUUGAUUGAGUGGUGUUCAAUAUAAAUCAUAACAUGUGGUAGGAGUGCAAAUUAGACAACUCUCAAUUCAAGUCACCAUGUGAAAAAAAGAAACAAUUAUAGGUCAAACAACGGCCUUCAGCAAGAAGACUUGGCUCACAUCUAACAGCAAGCUAGCUCUAAAGGGCCCGAAAAUGACUAGUGUAAAACGACUCAAACAGGAAAUCAUAUCUAUAUAAGAACAAGAAAGGUUCUAGUCGAAACGCAUGCCCCGUGCGUGAAUCGAAUUCUUAAAUUUGAAAAGAAAGGGACUUAGACCACUCGGCAUCCAUAAAAUAUUAAAACUAUUAUUACAUUGUUGCAUGAAUACAUGAUUUCAGUUAGAUAAAAAACCGAUAAUUUCACAUGUGAAAUAAAACGUGGUUAUUUCGUCUGACGUCAUACAACAAUAGGCGUUGUCAAGACGUCGAUAACGUUGAAGCAAAACAUGCGUAGGAAAAACAUAUAGUUCCUUACAUUGUCUACAUUAAUUUCAUAAAAAAAGAAAUUUGACAAUGAAAUAAAAAGUAUAACUAAUGCCGUAUUUGAAUAUCAAAAAUAAGACAACUUGUGCCGAACGCCGCUAGGAUUAAACUCGUGCUGUGCACUCGUUUUAAUCCAUGCGUCGUUCGGUCACGCGUUGUCUUAUUUUUUGAUAUUCAAAUACGGCAAUUAGUUAUACUAUAAUUGUUUACCUAGAAGGAGUGCACGGUAAUGAAAUAAAACCUAACAAACAAAACAUCUAAAAGACAUCUUUUUGUGAAGAUUGGCUUAAUGCUUACUAUUCGUUUAGGGUUUAUAUUUCGUCCCCUAGUAUCUGUGGGUAAUUGUCUCAAUUUCCUUAUCUUCUUGUAUCUGUUCUUAUAAUCAAAAUGUUUUUUUAUUUUAGGAUAUGGUAAUCGGCAGAAAUGUGAGACAACGAAUUUGACAGAUAUUACAUCUCCUUCUUCGAUUGGAAGAGUGUACCCUCUAAACAAAUCCGGUCAGUUGUUUUUGGUGUGGUUCAACGAUUCAAAUUACUUCACAGUUGACGUUAGCGAGAGUUGUUCAAACCUCCUAUUAGAAAAUAUAGAUAUGGUUCUAAAUAUAAUGAUUAACGUACCAUAUUUGAAAAGAUUUCUUGGACCUUGCCAGAAUGAGAUAGGCAUUAUGUAUAAAUUUUGUGACCCAAACGUAACAUACAACACCAGACUUAUCAAACACAACGC
rnacentral:lncRNA from 1 species